UACGUAGGGUGCGAGCGUUAAUCGGAAUUACUGGGCGUAAAGCGUGCGCAGGCGGUGAUGUAAGACAGAUGUGAAAUCCCCGGGCUCAACCUGGGACCUGCAUUUGUGACUGCAUCGCUAGAGUACGGUAGAGGGGGAUGGAAUUCCGCGUGUAGCAGUGAAAUGCGUAGAUAUGCGGAGGAACACCGAUGGCGAAGGCAAUCCCCUGGACCUGUACUGACGCUCAUGCACGAAAGCGUGGGGAGCAA
rnacentral:rRNA from 1 species